rnacentral:rRNA from 1 species
CCUAGGGGAGGCAGCAGUGGGGAAUAUUGCACAAUGGGGGAAACCCUGAUGCAGCAACGCCGCGUGAGUGAUGAAGGUCUUCGGAUUGUAAAACUCUGUCUUUGGGGACGAUAAUGACGGUACCCAGGAGGAAGCCCGGCUAACUACGUGCCAGCAGCCGCGGUAAU